rnacentral:lncRNA from 1 species
GUCGGAGGGGAGUGGGUUUAAGGCCUGCAUUUUUCUAAGAUAAUCGGUUGUAUCUUUGAUGUGAGAUGGUAAGUCUUCAACAUGUUGACGAAGAUGGAAGUCAACAAAUUCCGAUAUUUUUUCCGUCGGAUGACCGUUCGCUGAAACUAUAGGUCUUCCUGGGUUAUUGGCCUUAUGAAUUUUAGGUAAUAGAUAAAAUCUGCCCGGUUUUGGGUUUUCUGGUUUCAAAUAUUCAAGAGUUUUGUCAUCGAUGAAACCAUCGUCAUGCAUUUCUACCAAACUAUUAGUAAUAUCUCUGCUAAAAGAUGUAGUAGGAUCAGAGUCUAGUUUUUGGUAGAACCUUGCAUCGCUAAGUUGUC